rnacentral:rRNA from 1 species
CCCUUAGAUGUUCUGGGCCGCACGCGCGCUACACUGAUACUGUCAACAAGCUUUACCUUGGCCGAUAGGUCUGGACAAUCUUCGAACUAUUAUCGUGAUGGGGCUAGAUUAUUGCAACUAUUAAUCUUAAACGAGGAAUUCCUAGUAAGCGCGAGUCAUCAGCUCGCGUUGAUUACGUCCCUGCCCUUUGUACACACCGCCCGUCGCUCCUACCGAUUGGAUUGGCUGGUGAAGCGUUCGGAUUGUGGGUUCGGAGCGGUUCGCCGUUCUGGGCUUGCGAGAAGUUCGUUAAACCCUCCUAUCUAGAGGAAGGAGAAGUCGUAACA